rnacentral:rRNA from 1 species
UACAGAGGUCUCAAGCGUUGUUCGGAUUCAUUGGGCGUAAAGGGUGCGUAGGCGGCGCGGUAAGUCGGGUGUGAAAAUCUCGGAGCUUAACUCCGAAAACUGCAUUCGAUACUGCCGUGCUUGAGGACUGGAGAGGAGACUGGAAUUUACGGUGUAGCGGUGAAAUGCGUAGAUAUCGUAAGGAAGACCAGUGGCGAAGG